rnacentral:rRNA from 1 species
AUUGAACGCUGGCGGCAUGCCUUACACAUGCAAGUCGAACGGUAACGCGGGGCCACCUGGCGACGAGUGGCGAACGGGUGAGUAAUGCAUCGGAACGUGCCCAGAAGUGGGGGAUAGCCCGGCGAAAGCCGGAUUAAUACCGCAUGAGACCUGAGGGUGAAAGCGGGGGAUCGCAAGACCUCGCGCUUUUGGAGCGGCCGAUGUCAGAUUAGCUAGUUGGUGGGGUAAAGGCCUACCAAGGCGACGAUCUGUAGCUGGUCUGAGAGGACGACCAGCCACACUGGGACUGAGACACGGCCCAGACUCCUACGGGAGGCAGCAGUGGGGAAUUUUGGACAAUGGGCGCAAGCCUGAUCCAGCCAUGCCGCGUGCGGGAAGAAGGCCUUCGGGUUGUAAACCGCUUUUGUCAGGGAAGAAACGCUCUGGGCUAAUACCCUGGGGUAAUGACGGUACCUGAAGAAUAAGCACCGGCUAACUACGUG